rnacentral:rRNA from 1 species
GGCAGACGGGUGAGUCACGCGUGGGAACGUACCUUUUGGUUCGGAACAACACAGGGAAACUUGUGCUAAUACCGGAUAAGCCCUUACGGGGAAAGAUUUAUCGCCGAAAGAUCGGCCCGCGUCUGAUUAGCUAGUUGGUGAGGUAAUGGCUCACCAAGGCGACGAUCAGUAGCUGGUCUGAGAGGAUGAUCAGCCACAUUGGGACUGAGACACGGCCCAAACUCCUACGGGAGGCAGCAGUGGG